rnacentral:rRNA from 1 species
CAAACCAAAGCUGGCGACCGGCGCACGGGUGAGUAACACGUAUCCAACCUGCCUCAUACUCGGGGAUAGCCUUUCGAAAGAAAGGUUAAUAUCCGAUAGCAUAUAUUUCCCGCAUGGGUUUUAUAUUAAAGAAAUUCGGUAUGAGAUGGGGAUGCGUUCCAUUAGUUUGUUGGGGGGGUAACGGCCCACCAAGACUACGAUGGAUAGGGGUUCUGAGAGGAAGGUCCCCCACAUUGGAACUGAGACACGGUCCAA